rnacentral:rRNA from 1 species
CCUACGGGAGGCAGCAGUGGGGAAUAUUGGACAAUGGGGGAAACCCUGAUCCAGCGACGCCGCGUGAGUGAAGAAGUAUUUCGGUAUGUAAAGCUCUAUCAGCAGGGAAGAAAAUGACGGUACCUGAUUAAGAAGCCCCGGCUAACUACGUGCCAGCAGCCGCGGUAAUACGUAGGGGGCAAGCGUUAUCCGGAUUUACUGGGUGUAAAGGGAGCGUAGACGGCAGCACAAGUCUGGAGUGAAAUGCCGGGGCUCAACCCCGGAACUGCUCUGGAAACUGUGCAGCUUGAGUGCAGGAGAGGUAAGCGGAAUUCCUGGUGUAGCGGUGAAAUGCGUAGAUAUUAGGAGGAACACCGGUGGCGAAGGCGGCUUACUGGACUGUAACUGACGUUGAGGCUCGAAAGCGUGGGGAGCAAACAGGAUUAGAUACCCGUGUAGUC